GACGAACGCUGGCGGCGUGCUUAACACAUGCAAGUCGAACGGAAAGGCCCUGCUUGCAGGGUACUCGAGUGGCGAACGGGUGAGUAACACGUGGGUGAUCUGCCCUGCACUUCGGGAUAAGCCUGGGCAACUGGGUCUAAUACCGGAUAGGAGCCAUUUUUAGUGUGGUGGUUGGAAAGUUUUUUCGGUGUAGGAUUAGCUCGCGGCCUAUCAUCUUGUUGGUGGGGUAAUGGCCUACCAAGGCGGCGACGGGUAGCCGGCCUGAGAGGGUGGACGGACACAUUGGGACUGAGAAACGGCCCAGACUGCUACGGGAGGCAGAAGUGGGGAAUAAUGCACAAUGGGCGCAAGCCUGAUGCAGCGACGCCGCGUGGGGGAUGAAGGCCUUCGGGUUGUAAACUCCUUUCGCUAGGGACGAAGCUUUUUGUGACGGUACCUAGAUAAGAAGCACCGGCUAACUACGUG
rnacentral:rRNA from 1 species